AACGAACGCUGGCGGCAUGCCUAACACAUGCAAGUCGAACGAGACCUUCGGGUCUAGUGGCGCACGGGGGCGUAACGCGUGGGAACCUGCCCUUAGGUUCGGAAUAACUCCCCGAAAGGGGUGCUAAUACCGGAUAAUGUCUUCGGACCAAAGAUUUAUCGCCUGUGGAUGCGCCCGCGUUGGAUUAGCUAGUUGGUAGGGUAAAAGCCUACCAAGGCGACGAUCCAUAGCUGGUCUGAGAGGAUGAUCAGCCACACUGGGACUGAGACACGGCCCAGACUCCUACGGGAGGCAGCAGUGGGGAAUAUUGGACAAUGGGCGAAAGCCUGAUCCAGCAAUGCCGCGUGAGUGAUGAAGGCCUUAGGGUUGUAAAGCUCUUUUACCCGGGAUGAUAAUGACAGUACCGGGAGAAUAAGCUCCGGCUAACUCCGUG
rnacentral:rRNA from 1 species